AGCGGUAGCACAGAGAGCUUGCUCUCGGGUGACGAGCGGCGGACGGGUGAGUAAUGUCUGGGAAACUGCCUGAUGGAGGGGGAUAACUACUGGAAACGGUAGCUAAUACCGCAUANNNUCGCAAGACCAAAGUGGGGGACCUUCGGGCCUCAUGCCAUCAGAUGUGCCCAGAUGGGAUUAGCUAGUAGGUGGGGUAACGGCUCACCUAGGCGACGAUCCCUAGCUGGUCUGAGAGGAUGACCAGCCACACUGGAACUGAGACACGGUCCAGACUCCUACGGGAGGCAGCAGUGGGGAAUAUUGCACAAUGGGCGCAAGCCUGAUGCAGCCAUGCCGCGUGUGUGAAGAAGGCCUUCGGGUUGUAAAGCACUUUCAGCGGGGAGGAAGGCGANGAGGUUAAUAACCUUGUCGAUUGACGUUACCCGCAGAAGAAGCACCGGCUAACUCCGUGCCAGCAGCCGCGGUAAUACGGAGGGUGCAAGCGUUAAUCGGAAUUACUGGGCGUAAAGCGCACGCAGGCGGUCUGUCAAGUCGGAUGUGAAAUCCCCGGGCUCAACCUGGGAACUGCAUUCGAAACUGGCAGGCUAGAGUCUUGUAGAGGGGGGUAGAAUUCCAGGUGUAGCGGUGAAAUGCGUAGAGAUCUGGAGGAAUACCGGUGGCGAAGGCGGCCCCCUGGACAAAGACUGACGCUCAGGUGCGAAAGCGUGGGGAGCAAACAGGAUUAGAUACCCUGGUAGUCCACGCCGUAAACGAUGUCGAUUUGGAGGUUGUGCCCUUGAGGCGUGGCUUCCGGAGCUAACGCGUUAAAUCGACCGCCUGGGGAGUACGGCCGCAAGGUUAAAACUCAAAUGAAUUGACGGGGGCCCGCACAAGCGGUGGAGCAUGUGGUUUAAUUCGAUGCAACGCGAAGAACCUUACCUGGUCUUGACAUCCACAGAACUUUCCAGAGAUGGAUUGGUGCCUUCGGGAACUGUGAGACAGGUGCUGCAUGGCUGUCGUCAGCUCGUGUUGUGAAAUGUUGGGUUAAGUCCCGCAACGAGCGCAACCCUUAUCCUUUGUUGCCAGCGGUUAGGCCGGGAACUCAAAGGAGACUGCCAGUGAUAAACUGGAGGAAGGUGGGGAUGACGUCAAGUCAUCAUGGCCCUUACGACCAGGGCUACACACGUGCUACAAUGGCAUAUACAAAGAGAAGCGACCUCGCGAGAGCAAGCGGACCUCAUAAAGUAUGUCGUAGUCCGGAUUGGAGUCUGCAACUCGACUCCAUGAAGUCGGAAUCGCUAGUAAUCGUAGAUCAGAAUGCUACGGUGAAUACGUUCCCGGGCCUUGUACACACCGCCCGUCACACCAUGGGAGUGGGNNNAAAAGAAGUAGGUAG
rnacentral:rRNA from 1 species